ACGGCGAGUGAAGCGGUAAAGCUCAAAUUUGAAAUCUGGUACUUUCAGUGCCCGAGUUGUAAUUUGUAGAAUUUGUCUUUGAUUAGGUCCUUGUCUAUGUUCCUUGGAACAGGACGUCAUAGAGGGUGAGAAUCCCGUUUGGCGAGGAUACCUUUUCUCUGUAAGACUUUUUCGAAGAGUCGAGUUGUUUGGGAAUGCAGCUCAAAGUGGGUGGUAAAUUCCAUCUAAAGCUAAAUAUUGGCGAGAGACCGAUAGCGAACAAGUACAGUGAUGGAAAGAUGAAAAGAACUUUGAAAAGAGAGUGAAAAAGUACGUGAAAUUGUUGAAAGGGAAGGGCAUUUGAUCAGACAUGGUGUUUUUUGCAUGCACUCGCCUCUCGUGGGCUUGGGCCUCUCAAAAAUUUCACUGGGCCAACAUCAAUUCUGGCAGCAGGAUAAAUCAUUAAGAAUGUAGCUACUUCGGUAGUGUUAUAGCUUUUUGGAAUACUGUUAGCCGGGAUUGAGGACUGCGCUUCGGCAAGGAUGUUGGCAUAAUGGUUAAAUGCCGCCCGUCUU
rnacentral:rRNA from 1 species